UUAAAGGGUUUUAUUCACAAAAAUACGGUUUCAGUGGAAACGCUGUUUUGAAAAAGACACUGAGCAAGCAUGCAUAUUUUUCUGUGAUGCAGGACCGGCGUGAUGCAGAACCGGAGCGAUGCAGGACCGGAGCGAUGCAGGCCCGGAGUGAUGCAGGACCGGAGCCCUGAGCGAUGCAGGACCGGAGUGAUGCAGCAAAAGGAUGUGACAGAAACACCCAAUAUGGUCUCGCCGAGGCGGCAAUUUACCACUCCGAUGGCCUCAUCGGUUGUAAGCAGUAUAAAGUAUACAACAGAUCGAGUAAGGAAAGGACAAACAACGUGUACCGGUUCCGACAGAAUGAUGCAAAUAUAGCAUGUAUUUCCUAGAACGGCGGAGGCUCCAGACAGCAUUUUGCGGAAGAAAAUCGGCAGAAAUGUGCCGAGGCGGCCAAACCUUUGUAGAUG
rnacentral:lncRNA from 1 species